rnacentral:snRNA from 1 species
GUGCUCACUUCGGCAGCACAUAUACUAAAAUUGGAAUGAUACAGAGAAGAUUAGCAUGGCCCCUGCACAAGGAUGAGACACAAAUUCAUGAAGCGUUCCAUAUUUAA